rnacentral:snoRNA from 1 species
GUUCAAUGAUGACUGUUAGAUGACGAGUCGUAAUUUACCUUGACGACCAUGUAACGAGGCAUUUGUCUGAGAACC